CCCAAAACGAAUUGCACAUGUCUACCUGCCAUUAGGCUCCAGAUUCAAGAGUUGGUGCCAGGUGCUGAGAUUGCUUUGUGCAUGGCACUCUGCGAUCUGUCAGUGGAAUGCAACGACAUCCCAGUGUGUGGUCCACAUAUGGAGCCUCCAAGCUGUCUGAUGCACCUUCGCCUCUUCUGUCACCCGGCACGGAUUGUAAAGAAUGAUAGAGUGAAAUACAGAAGCUCGUAUGGAGUUCAUAUCCUAUGAUAAUUGAAGGACUAGACGGUGCCCUCCACAGAUCUAUCAAAACAACAAAAAGUAAAUAGCUUCACCAGCUCUGCCAAGGGAAGGCAGAGCUCUGCUACCUGACC